UUAGUGCAAAUAAGGUCGUUUCCGGACGU
rnacentral:piRNA from 1 species